rnacentral:lncRNA from 1 species
GAAAGGAAUUGGAAUGUCAAGACGAGUAAUAGGUACCAAAGAAGAUCAACAAAGACUACUCAAGGAGUUUCAUGAGAGUCUAUGGGUAGGACAUAGAAGAAUUUGGACUACUUUUGCUAAAAUGAAGGAACGAUAUUGGUGGAAGAAUAUGUAUUGAGAUGUAACUUUUUUUGUAGAAUCUUAUGUAACUUGUCAAAUGUAUUGAAA